rnacentral:tRNA from 1 species
GGGGUUGUGGCUCAGUGGUAGAGCACUCGCCUAGCAUGUGUGAGGCACUGGAUUCGAUCCUCAGCACCA